rnacentral:rRNA from 1 species
AUGGCGGAAGUGGCAUUGGCUGUGGCUGGUGUACGGGCUGGCUUACAGUUGGUGGUAUCACCGAUCUUGAAGAAGCUGCUAGCUGACCCCGCAAGGUGUCUUGGUGUGGACAUGGUGAGUGAGCUCCAUGAACUGGAGACCAACAUCAUGCCACAGUUCACUCUACUGGUUGAAGCAGCUAACAAGAGCCCUCACAGGGCAAUGUUGAACAACUGGAUCCAGCAGCUCAAAGACGCAUUCUGUAAAGCUGAGGACCUGCUAGAUGAGCAUGAGUACAACAUCCUCAAGCGCGAAGCAGAGAAGGGGAAGGAUUCUUUGAUAGAACAUGCAUCUUCUAGUGGUACUAUUAUGAAGCAUGUGCAUACUGUGUCGAGCAGGCUGUCCAAUCUGCGCCCAAAGAACAAAAAGCUACUCGACCAGUUGAAGGAACUGAAGCUCAUCCUUGCGAAAGCCAAGGGCCUCCGUGAACUACUUUGCUUACCUGCUGGGGCCUCCACAAUGCCAGCAGCUGUUAUUCGAGUGGCCACAUCAAUAGCACCUCCGAAAGUGAUUGGUCGUGACAAGGACCGCGAUGAUAUUAUAGGUCUUCUUACCAAGCUGAUUGCUGCUGAGUCUGAUACAAGUAGGUUUUCUGGUCUAGCCAUUGUUGGACUUGGAGGCAUGGGAAAAUCCACCUUGGCGCAAUAUGUUUACAAUGACGAGAGGGUAAAAGAACAUUUUCAGGUCAGGAUGUGGGUUUGCAUCUCGCGCAAACUUGAUGUUAUUGGCCAUACACGGUUGAUUAUUGAAUCAGCAAAAGGAGGGCAGUGCCCACCUGUUGAUAAUCUUGAUACUCUCCAAUGCAUAUUAAGGGACACCCUGAAAAAAUCAGAGAGAUUCCUGCUUGUGUUGGAUGAUGUCUGGUUUGAAAAAAACAGCAAUGAGGACUGGGAGCAACUACUGGCUCCUCUAGUUUCUCGACACACAGGAAGCAAAGUUUUGGAACAUGCCUUUUCUGGUGCAGCAAUUGGAGACCAGAGGUUGCAUGAGCAGCUAGAAACGAUUGCAGAGAAGCUUGCUAAAAGACUUGGAAGAUCUCCUCUGGCAGCAAAAACUGUGGGUUCACAACUAAGCAGGAAAAAGGAUAAGGCAGCAUGGGAAGAUGCUCUAAGGAUUGACAACUUAAGUGAUCCCAGUAGAGCACUUUUGUGGAGUUACGAGAAUUUAGAUCCAAGUCUGCAGAGGUGUUUCCUAUAUUGCAGUUUAUAUCCAAAAGGCAACAGCUUUAUCAUGGAGGAGUUGGUUCGCAUGUGGGUAGGAGAGGGACUUUUUGAUUCGUGCAAUGUGAACAAAAGAAUUGAAGAUAUUGGGAGGGACUGCUUUGAUGAGAUGCUCUCAGUUUCAUUCUUUCAACCAGUUUACAAUGAUGGUAUAAUUAUGGACUGGUAUGUUAUGCAUGAUCUCGUUCAUGAUUUGGCAGAGUCAUUGUCUAAAGAAGUCUGCUUCAGAUUAGAAGAUGAUAAGAUGGCAACAAUACCACAAACUGUUCGACAUCUGUCUGUUCGUGUUAAGAGUUUGAAGCAACAUCAGCGUUUGAUCUGCAGGCUACAUCAUUUACGUACCUUUGUCUGCCUUGAGCCAGUUACAGAUGAUGCAAGAGACAUUUUCCAGCAGGUGGUGCAGAAUUUGAAGAAGUUGCGUGUACUUAUUCUGGAGUUCUAUAACAGCAGCAACCUGCCUGAAUCUGUUGGUGAAUUGAAGCACCUUCGGUACUUGAACCUCACAAGAACUUCAAUCUCCAAAUUGCCAGGAUCAUUGUGUGCUCUUUACCACUUGCAAUACCUUCAGUUCAGUCCCCAGGUUGAAACUUUUCCUGAAAAAAUAUUCAGUUUAAGUAAGUUGAGAAAUCUUGAAGGGCGUGGCCAAAUCCCUUACAUAGGCAAGUUAAUUUCACUCCACAAUCUCGAUCAAUUUUGCGUGAAAAAACAGAGGGGCUACGAGCUGCGACAACUGAAAGACAUGAACAACCUUGGUGGCAGUUUAAGUGUCUCAAAUCUUGAGAAUGUUGCUGGGAAGGAUCAAGCUUUAGAAGCAAAGCUACAUCAGAAAAAUCAUCUCGAGAGAUUGCACCUUGAAUGGAGUGAAGAAAAUGACAUGACUGCACCUGAUAGUUUACAUUUGGAAACCCUGGAAGGUCUGGUGCCACCACCGCAAAUAAGGGGCCUUACUAUCAAAGGUUACCGAUAUGCAAAAUACCCAGGCUGGUUACUCAGGGAUUCUUAUUUCCAGAAUUUGGAAUCAUUUGCACUUGUUAAUUGCAGUGCCUUAGAAAUCCUACCAUCAAAUGCCGCUCUCUUUGGGAAUUGCUCCUCACUUCACCUCAAGAAUGUCCCAUACUUGAAGACAUUACCUUCUCUUCCAGCUAGCCUUGAAGAGUUAGUGAUUAAGAAGUGCAUAUUGCUUAUGUUUAUUUCCAGCGAUGAGCUAAAACAAUAUGACGAAAGGGAGAACACCAUGAUGACAGACAGCCUGAAGUCACGUCUUUCUUCCACAUGGGAGGUGGAUUCGGGAUCAAACAUCAAGGACAUACUGUUGUCAGAACAUUCAUCUCUGAAGCGCUUGAUGAAAUUGAUGGAUGUUGAUAUUUCUCAUCUUCAAACCAUUGAAAGUACUCUAAAAAGAGAGGGGAGUGAAGCAUUGGUGAAAGAGGAUAUCAUCAAUGCAUGGAUAUGUUGCCAUGUGGAGAGGAUAAGACUCAUAUGUAAAAGGAACAUCAGCCUACAACUGGUUCCACCAUCAGGGCUUUGUCGGCUUCACCUUUAUUCAUGUGUCGUUGCAGAUGAAGCAUUAGCGGUUUGCCUUGUUGGUCUCACUGCAUUGAGAAUAUUGUCACUAAAAGAGAUUAUGACUUUGACUACACUUCCGUCACAGGAUGUUCUCCAACAGUUGACAAAGCUUGAUGAAUUGUUCAUCAACUCGUGCUGGUGCCUUAGAUCAUUAGGGGGGCUGCGAGCUGUUUCCGCUCUUUCAAUAUUUUCUUUAUGUAGCUGCCCUUCUGUAGAGUUGACACAUGAAUCAGAUUUUUUGCCAUUUUCCCUUGGGAUGCUCAACAUACGACACUGUGUGGUCGCAGCUGAUUUCCUCAGUAUUGACUUGCCACACCUGAAAUAUCUUGACAUGAGUCACUGCAGAAGCUCUUCAUCAUUGUCGAUUGGUCAUUUAACCUCCCUCAGAACAUUGUCACUAGAAAAUCUACAGGACUUGUGCUUUCUUGAAGGGUUGUCUUCGCUGCAACUUUUCGGUGCAGAAUUUGUGCAUGUCCCGAACCUCAGUAUGAAGUGCAUCUCACAGCUGCGAGUCCAGGAGUACCUAUUUGUUAGCAGCCCCGUAAUGCUCAACCACAUGCUCUCUGUUGAAGGUAUUAAAGCUCCAAGAUAUUUGCGUCUUAUAGGAUGCAAGGAGUCCUUUUCAUUUGAGGAGUCAGUAGAUUUCUCAUCUGUCAUCAACCUGUCAUUUAUGGAUUGUGAAAUCAGUUCAUUGCCAGGAAAUCUGAAGUCCUUUUCAUGCCUGUCGGAGCUGCGAAUUCAUAGAUGCCCCAAUAUAUCAUCUUUACCUGAUUUGCCAUCUUCCGUCCACGGAAUAUACGUGCGGGAUUCUGAACUCUUGAAGAAGAGCUGCCAAUCACCUCAUGGGGAAAGCUGGCCAAAGAUUGAGCAUAUCUGCAUAAAAGAUUUUCUCUAG